rnacentral:rRNA from 1 species
UGGAUCCAGACUUUGAUCCUGGCUCAGAUUGAACGCUGGCGGCAGGCCUAACACAUGCAAGUCGAACGGUAACAGGAAGAAGCUUGCUUCUUUGCUGACGAGUGGCGGACGGGUGAGUAAUGUCUGGGAAACUGCCUGAUGGAGGGGGAUAACUACUGGAAACGGUAGCUAAUACCGCAUAACGUCGCAAGACCAAAGAGGGGGACCUUCGGGCCUCUUGCCAUCGGAUGUGCCCAGAUGGGAUUAGCUAGUAGGUGGGGUAACGGCUCACCUAGGCGACGAUCCCUAGCUGGUCUGAGAGGAUGGCCAGCCACACUGGAACUGAGACACGGUCCAGACUCCUACGGGAGGCAGCAGUGGGGAAUAUUGCACAAUGGGCGCAAGCCUGAUGCAGCCAUGCCGCGUGUAUGAAGAAGGCCUUCGGGUUGUAAAGUACUUUCAGCGGGGAGGAAGGGAGUAAAGUUAAUACCUUUGCUCAUUGACGUUACCCGCAGAAGAAGCACCGGCUAACUCCGUGCCAGCAGCCGCGGUAAUACGGAGGGUGCAAGCGUUAAUCGGAAUUACUGGGCGUAAAGCGCACGCAGGCGGUUUGUUAAGUCAGAUGUGAAAUCCCCGGGCUCAACCUGGGAACUGCAUCUGAUACUGGCAAGCUUGAGUCUCGUAGAGGGGGGUAGAAUUCCAGGUGUAGCGGUGAAAUGCGUAGAGAUCUGGAGGAAUACCGGUGGCGAAGGCGGCCCCCUGGACGAAGACUGACGCUCAGGUGCGAAAGCGUUGGGAGCAAACAGGAUUAGAUACCCUGGUAGUCCACGCCGUAAACGAUGUCGACUUGGAGGUUGUGCCCUUGAGGCGUGGCUUCCGGAGCUAACGCGUUAAGUCGACCGCCUGGGGAGUACGGCCGCAAGGUUACAACUCAAAGGAAUUGACGGA